GAGAAAGGAGGGACAAGUGAGGAGAGUGCGCAUGUGCAGCGCUGAGGUGCGCUCGCCUGGAACCGAAGAAGAAGGAGGAAGAGGAGGAGGAGGUGUUGUUGUGAGAGGGACACAGGAGAGCGGGACGACGAGAAUAACAGCGAGGUCCGACUAGAUUAAAGAACCAGGCCCAGGAGGACUGAAUAAGCCACAGCAGGGAGGAAGAGAAAGGAUGGAGAGAGCCCACAGAGACGCUCCGAGACACACCGGCGGAGGCAGAGCGACGGCGUGAAGGACAAAAGACGAGGGAUGUGGACGUGCCUCCACCUUGCCUCCUCCAUCUUAACAUUCCUGCCGUCGUCAUCCUGCUGGGAACCAGAUUUUGCAUCUUCAGAGCCCCUACCUUGCAUCUUGAGAGCAAAGAAACCGUCGAGACAGGACCUGAAAGAGGCUUGAGCUGAAGGACAUCAUCAAGGGGACCCAAUUUAAAGAUGUGGACCACAUCAAGAUCACCGUGACGACGGGGAUGUGGAGGAUCCUGGAAGAAGUUCUGGGAAAGCACGCAAGACUCCACAGGAUUACUUCAAAGGUAGAUGCACCAAAGCUAUUU